UACUCUUGGCCGUAAACUCUUCAACACUUGAGCUUUUCAUGAUUUUUCUAGGUCCUAAACACAUUAAGGUACUAGCCAAAAAUGAAGACUAAGCCUUAGGAAGAGUUUGAAGUGGUUUUGGCACUUAAUCUUGGAGUUUACGGCCUAAGGAGCAUCUUGGCCGUAAACUCCCUUCCAAAGUUGGUUUCUAAUUGUUUUGUGGGUCUAAAUCAUGAGUUUAAGGCUUCUAGGUUCUUGUUCUAAGGCUAAAGGAACACUAGGCACUCAUUUGUGCCCUUUACUUGGAGUUUACGGCCCAAGAGGUUGUUCCUUGGCCGUAAACUCCUCAAACUACUUGCUUUUGAUUUGUUUCUAGCCUCUAAUGAUCAUACACUAAGUCCUUAGUUAGAUGCCUAACACGGAAAUGGGACUAGGUGGCCUUUAGGCUUGAUUUUGGAGUUUACUCCCCAAGAACGUUCUUGGGCGGUAAACUCCCGGAUCUUGUGUUUUGGACAUGUAAACAAUGUUAUAAAGCAUAUAACAAGUAUUAAAACACAUUUAGGGAAGUAGACUCACAAUCUGGGAUGAAAACCCGAAGAUCCGUGAGAGAGUAUUUGGCUUUUCUCUAAAUGGAAAUCAAAUAAUGAACCAAUUUGGUUCAGAAUUCUAUUUAUAGUCCAGAGAUUUUUGGCAGAAAAUAUUUCUAUUCUCGGAAUGGAUUCUAAUGACCUAGAGUAAUGGAAUUACAGUGUUGCACAAAAUCCUAGUGCACCCACUCUCCUAAUAACUCCUUAGGUGUAAAACCCUAAAACUGCCAAACUUAUUCCAAAAGUUUGAAUUUUCACUGAAACUGCUCUACUUCCAUUGGAUUGAUGUGGUUUGAUUUGAAUGGAAAAUUUCGGGUUGUCACAGUUAAGGGGUAUGAACUCACCUGCAGUAUGUGACUGGAAUUGAACGGGCUGUUAUCGUACGGAAGGAUCAGACAAGUGCUUGGUGUCAAGUGAAGACUUAGACACACACAAUGAUCCUAAUUACAUAUGAAACAUAUGUAUAUAAAUAAUUAGUGAUUAUAACACUAAUUAUACAAGUAAUAACAUUUAAGCGCGAGGACAACACUUUUGGUCAAGUGCUAGGAGGCUAAUGGGUUGCAACAAAGAAGUGCAAUGCCCCUAAUGAAAGUUUAAGGUCAAAAGACCAUAUUCAUUAGAGUUUACGGCCCAGGGGAGUAAGCUCCUGGCCGUAAACUCUCAAACAAGUCAUGAAAUGGAGUUUAAAAGUACUACAACCUUAGAGGGGAAUUGUUUCAAGGCUAUACAAGUGUUUGGGCACCACAUUGACUCCUUUGGGGAGUUUACGGCCCAAAGACCCUUCUCCCUUGGAGUUUACGGCCGUAAACUCCCUUGGGAGGGUUCUUAUUGUCCUUUCAAGUCUCUAACAUUUCUAGGAACAAGUCUAGGCUUCAAUACUUGGAUCAAGGGAGGUUUAUGGCAUUAAAUGGAACCAUUUGAUGGAGUUUACGGCCAUAGAACUCUUUGGGCCGUAAACUCCCUCACACAUGAGGUUCUAAGAAUUUUAACUAGCCCAAAACUCAUCUAGGUACUUGCCCUAAAAGUCUCUUGGCCUAAGGAAGUGUCUAGGGUGUCCUUUGACCCCUUUAAAGGAGUUUACGGCCCAAGAAAUACUCUUGGCCGUAAACUCUUCAACACUUGAGCUUUUCAUGAUUUUUCUAGGUCCUAAACACAUUAAGGUACUAGCCAAAAAUGAAGACUAAGCCUUAGGAAGAGUUUGAAGUGGUUUUGGCACUUAAUCUUGGAGUUUACGGCCUAAGGAGCAUCUUGGCCGUAAACUCCCUUCCAAAGUUGGUUUCUAAUUGUUUUGUGGGUCUAAAUCAUGAGUUUAAGGCUUCUAGGUUCUUGUUCUAAGGCUAAAGGAACACUAGGCACUCAUUUGUGCCCUUUACUUGGAGUUUACGGCCCAAGAGGUUGUUCCUUGGCCGUAAACUCCUCAAACUACUUGCUUUUGAUUUGUUUCUAGCCUCUAAUGAUCAUACACUAAGUCCUUAGUUAGAUGCCUAACACGGAAAUGGGACUAGGUGGCCUUUAGGCUUGAUUUUGGAGUUUACUCCCCAAGAACGUUCUUGGGCGGUAAACUCCCGGAUCUUGUGUUUUGGACAUGUAAACAAUGUUAUAAAGCAUAUAACAAGUAUUAAAACACAUUUAGGGAAGUAGACUCACAAUCUGGGAUGAAAACCCGAAGAUCCGUGAGAGAGUAUUUGGCUUUUCUCUAAAUGGAAAUCAAAUAAUGAACCAAUUUGGUUCAGAAUUCUAUUUAUAGUCCAGAGAUUUUUGGCAGAAAAUAUUUCUAUUCUCGGAAUGGAUUCUAAUGACCUAGAGUAAUGGAAUUACAGUGUUGCACAAAAUCCUAGUGCACCCACUCUCCUAAUAACUCCUUAGGUGUAAAACCCUAAAACUGCCAAACUUAUUCCAAAAGUUUGAAUUUUCACUGAAACUGCUCUACUUCCAUUGGAUUGAUGUGGUUUGAUUUGAAUGGAAAAUUUCGGGUUGUCACAGUUAAGGGGUAUGAACUCACCUGCAGUAUGUGACUGGAAUUGAACGGGCUGUUAUCGUACGGAAGGAUCAGACAAGUGCUUGGUGUCAAGUGAAGACUUAGACACACACAAUGAUCCUAAUUACAUAUGAAACAUAUGUAUAUAAAUAAUUAGUGAUUAUAACACUAAUUAUACAAGUAAUAACAUUUAAGCGCGAGGACAACACUUUUGGUCAAGUGCUAGGAGGCUAAUGGGUUGCAACAAAGAAGUGCAAUGCCCCUAAUGAAAGUUUAAGGUCAAAAGACCAUAUUCAUUAGAGUUUACGGCCCAGGGGAGUAAGCUCCUGGCCGUAAACUCUCAAACAAGUCAUGAAAUGGAGUUUAAAAGUACUACAACCUUAGAGGGGAAUUGUUUCAAGGCUAUACAAGUGUUUGGGCACCACAUUGACUCCUUUGGGGAGUUUACGGCCCAAAGACCCUUCUCCCUUGGAGUUUACGGCCGUAAACUCCCUUGGGAGGGUUCUUAUUGUCCUUUCAAGUCUCUAACAUUUCUAGGAACAAGUCUAGGCUUCAAUACUUGGAUCAAGGGAGGUUUAUGGCAUUAAAUGGAACCAUUUGAUGGAGUUUACGGCCAUAGAACUCUUUGGGCCGUAAACUCCCUCACACAUGAGGUUCUAAGAAUUUUAACUAGCCCAAAACUCAUCUAGGUACUUGCCCUAAAAGUCUCUUGGCCUAAGGAAGUGUCUAGGGUGUCCUUUGACCCCUUUAAAGGAGUUUACGGCCCAAGAAAUACUCUUGGCCGUAAACUCUUCAACACUUGAGCUUUUCAUGAUUUUUCUAGGUCCUAAACACAUUAAGGUACUAGCCAAAAAUGAAGACUAAGCCUUAGGAAGAGUUUGAAGUGGUUUUGGCACUUAAUCUUGGAGUUUACGGCCUAAGGAGCAUCUUGGCCGUAAACUCCCUUCCAAAGUUGGUUUCUAAUUGUUUUGUGGGUCUAAAUCAUGAGUUUAAGGCUUCUAGGUUCUUGUUCUAAGGCUAAAGGAACACUAGGCACUCAUUUGUGCCCUUUACUUGGAGUUUACGGCCCAAGAGGUUGUUCCUUGGCCGUAAACUCCUCAAACUACUUGCUUUUGAUUUGUUUCUAGCCUCUAAUGAUCAUACACUAAGUCCUUAGUUAGAUGCCUAACACGGAAAUGGGACUAGGUGGCCUUUAGGCUUGAUUUUGGAGUUUACUCCCCAAGAACGUUCUUGGGCGGUAAACUCCCGGAUCUUGUGUUUUGGACAUGUAAACAAUGUUAUAAAGCAUAUAACAAGUAUUAAAACACAUUUAGGGAAGUAGACUCACAAUCUGGGAUGAAAACCCGAAGAUCCGUGAGAGAGUAUUUGGCUUUUCUCUAAAUGGAAAUCAAAUAAUGAACCAAUUUGGUUCAGAAUUCUAUUUAUAGUCCAGAGAUUUUUGGCAGAAAAUAUUUCUAUUCUCGGAAUGGAUUCUAAUGACCUAGAGUAAUGGAAUUACAGUGUUGCACAAAAUCCUAGUGCACCCACUCUCCUAAUAACUCCUUAGGUGUAAAACCCUAAAACUGCCAAACUUAUUCCAAAAGUUUGAAUUUUCACUGAAACUGCUCUACUUCCAUUGGAUUGAUGUGGUUUGAUUUGAAUGGAAAAUUUCGGGUUGUCACAGUUAAGGGGUAUGAACUCACCUGCAGUAUGUGACUGGAAUUGAACGGGCUGUUAUCGUACGGAAGGAUCAGACAAGUGCUUGGUGUCAAGUGAAGACUUAGACACACACAAUGAUCCUAAUUACAUAUGAAACAUAUGUAUAUAAAUAAUUAGUGAUUAUAACACUAAUUAUACAAGUAAUAACAUUUAAGCGCGAGGACAACACUUUUGGUCAAGUGCUAGGAGGCUAAUGGGUUGCAACAAAGAAGUGCAAUGCCCCUAAUGAAAGUUUAAGGUCAAAAGACCAUAUUCAUUAGAGUUUACGGCCCAGGGGAGUAAGCUCCUGGCCGUAAACUCUCAAACAAGUCAUGAAAUGGAGUUUAAAAGUACUACAACCUUAGAGGGGAAUUGUUUCAAGGCUAUACAAGUGUUUGGGCACCACAUUGACUCCUUUGGGGAGUUUACGGCCCAAAGACCCUUCUCCCUUGGAGUUUACGGCCGUAAACUCCCUUGGGAGGGUUCUUAUUGUCCUUUCAAGUCUCUAACAUUUCUAGGAACAAGUCUAGGCUUCAAUACUUGGAUCAAGGGAGGUUUAUGGCAUUAAAUGGAACCAUUUGAUGGAGUUUACGGCCAUAGAACUCUUUGGGCCGUAAACUCCCUCACACAUGAGGUUCUAAGAAUUUUAACUAGCCCAAAACUCAUCUAGGUACUUGCCCUAAAAGUCUCUUGGCCUAAGGAAGUGUCUAGGGUGUCCUUUGACCCCUUUAAAGGAGUUUACGGCCCAAGAAAUACUCUUGGCCGUAAACUCUUCAACACUUGAGCUUUUCAUGAUUUUUCUAGGUCCUAAACACAUUAAGGUACUAGCCAAAAAUGAAGACUAAGCCUUAGGAAGAGUUUGAAGUGGUUUUGGCCCUAAAUCUUGGAGUUUACGGCCUAAGGAGCAUCUUGGCCGUAAACUCCCUUCCAAAGUGUGUUUCUAAAUGUUUUGUUGGUCUAAAACACUUGCUUAAGGCUUCUAGGUACUUGUUCUAAGGCUAAAGGAUCACUAGGCACUCAUUUGUGCCCUUUACUUGGAGUUUACGGCCCAAGAGGUGGUUCCUUGGCCGUAAACUCCUCAAACUACUUGCUUUUGAUUUGCUUCUAGCCUCUAAUGAUCAUACACUAAGUCCUUAGUUAGAUGCCUAACACGGAAAUGGGACUAGGUGGCCUUUAGGCUUGAUUUUGGAGUUUACUCCCCAAGAACGUUCUUGGGCGGUAAACUCCUGGAUCUAGUGUUUUGGACUUGUAAACAAUGUUAUAAAGCAUAUAAC
rnacentral:lncRNA from 1 species